rnacentral:rRNA from 1 species
AGUGAACGCUGGCGGUAGGCCUAACACAGGCAAGGCGAACGGCAGCACAGUAAGAGCGGGCGCGGAAGGGAGGAGAGGGGCGGACGGGGGAGGAAGACAGCGGAAGAGAAGGGGGCGGGGGGGAGAACGGAGGGAAACGGACGCGAAGACCGCAGACGACCGACGGGGGAAAGCAGGGGAUCUUCGGACCUUGCGCGAUUGAAUGAGCCGAUGUCGGAUUAGCUAGUUGGCGGGGUAAAGGCCCACCAAGGCGACGAUCCGUAGCUGGUCUGAGAGGCGGCUCCGCCCCCCUGGCACUGAGCCCCGGUCACGACUCCUCCGGGAGGCAGCAGUGGGGAAUAUUGGACAAUGGGCGCAAGCCUGAUCCAGCCAUACCGCGUGGGUGAAGAAGGCCUUCGGGUUGUACAGCCCUUUUGUUGGGAAACAAAAGCAGCAGGUUAAUACCCCGCUGUUCUGACGGUACCCAAAGAAUAAGCACCGGCUAACUUCGUG